CUGAGGAUUGACAGGUUCUAUCACGUUUGUUCAUUUGAACUUCUGUUCAUUUAAACUUCGUGUGUUAAAUAUGCUAGUCCUUUCAUGAUUAUGUGAUAGGUGGUGCAUGGCCGUUCUUAGUUCGUGGAGUGAUUUGUCUGCUUAAUUGCGUUUCACUACGAACGUGCAAUCAAAUAAACGUUUGUAUGUGCAUUUGAUCCCACCUCUUCUGAGGUGCUGUGCGUCUCUUGCACGCUAAUACAUCGUUUAGAGCAUGUUCUGAAAGCAACGAACGUGACCGCAACCCUUUGUUGCCUGCAAGCUCAAUACUAUUCACCUUGUGUGUUUAGUUAAAGCAGGCUUUCGUUAAUAAACUAAGGGGACCGCUGUUUCUUUCUUAAACCAGAGGAAGGUUGCGGCAAUAACAGGUCUGUGAUGCCCUUAGAUGUUCCGGGCUGCACACGUGCUACAAUGAUUAUUGCACUGAGCAUCUCAACUAUACACAUCGCAAACGUAGAGUACUUUUCACUUCGGUGUUUAGUCUCUUACGUGCGAUAAAGCCUGGUUCGAAAGUAACUGGGUAAUCAAUUAGAAGUAAUGAUUUCCUUAUUGCACAUCUAUAGUUAGCGAGUAAUCCCACCCUAACUUAUGUUAGGUGCUGUGCGUAUUACACGGACUUCGGUCUAAUCACUCCGUGAUUACUAGCUGUGCAUUUAUCAAUUCAUGGUGGGGAUAGACUGUUGUUAAUUUUCAGUCUUGCUUCAACUAGGAAUGCCUUGUACACGCGAGUCAACAACUCGCAUGGAAUACGUCCCUGCCCUUUGUACACACCGCCCGUCA
rnacentral:rRNA from 1 species